GCUUUGUUUUGCGGCCGUCUAUCUACCACGUUUAGCAUGGUGGUUAGUUGUUGCGCUGUUGGAUGCACCAAGCGCGCGGCGAAAGGCAGCGGCGUCGGUUUUUUUCGUUUUCCGAAAGAAAACACUCGUCGCAAGGCAUGGGUGCAAGCUGUGCGCCGAGAAAAAUGGCAGCCCUCGGACAGCAGCAGGAUUUGCGGCCUACAUUUCAUCACUGGCGCUCCGUCUCCAUUCCCGAACCACCCGGACUGGGCACCUAACGUUUUUGCCUUCAAGAAGGCUAACCGCGAAGCUGAAGAAAAGAAAUGCGACAGAUACGAACGGACGUUGAAGCGGAAACGUUGUUCGGCUUCUAACCACGGAUCAGCGGCCCACACAGGAUGCAU